rnacentral:rRNA from 1 species
CCCUUAGAUGUUCUGGGCCGCACGCGCGCUACACUGACGAAGUCAGCGAGCAUGUCCUACGCCGACAGGUGCGGGGAAUCUUGUCAAACUUCGUCGUGAUGGGGAUUGAUUAUUGAAAUUCUUGAUCAUCAACGAGGAAUUCCUAGUAAGCGCAAGUCAGCAGCUUGCGUUGAUUACGUCCCUGCCCUUUGUACACACCGCCCGUCGCUGCUACCGAUUGAAUGGUUUAGUGAGAUCUUCGGAUUGGCGCCACUGCGGCUCAGCAAUGGGCUCGGUGGAUGCCGAAAAGUUGAUCAAACUUGAUCAUUUAGAGGAAGUAAAAGUCGUAACA